CAAGAACCGCAUGGUUCUUGGCUGAAAGAUGGCGUAAGCUAUCGCUUUUGGAUGGACCCGCGGCGUAUUAGCUAGUUGGUGAGGUAACGGCUCACCAAGGCGAUGAUACGUAGCCGAACUGAGAGGUUGAUCGGCCACAUUGGGACUGAGACACGGCCCAAACUCCUACGGGAGGCAGCAGUAGGGAAUCUUCCACAAUGGACGCAAGUCUGAUGGAGCAACGCCGCGUGAGUGAAGAAGGCUUUCGGGUCGUAAAACUCUGUUGUUGGAGAAGAAUGGUCGGCAGAGUAACUGUUGUCGGCGUGACGGUAUCCAACCAGAAAGCCACGGCUAACUACGUGCCAGCAGCCGCGGUAAUACGUAGGUGGCAAGCGUUAUCCGGAUUUAUUGGGCGUAAAGCGAGCGCAGGCGGUUUUUUAAGUCUGAUGUGAAAGCCCUCGGCUUAACCGAGGAAGCGCAUCGGAAACUGGGAAACUUGAGUGCAGAAGAGGACAGUGGAACUCCAUGUGUAGCGGUGAAAUGCGUAGAUAUAUGGAAGAACACCAGUGGCGAAGGCGGCUGUCUGGUCUGUAACUGACGCUGAG
rnacentral:rRNA from 1 species